rnacentral:lncRNA from 1 species
CCUUGAUUAUUAUCAAACAAUAAUCAUUGACAGACUGCCCAUCAUGCAUCUUCGCUCUAAAAAGUCUUUGGGAGACCUCAAAGCGAGCUGUGCGAUUCUGUUCACUAUACAACUCUUGCAAGUGACCAACAUCUCCCUGACAGUCCUCAUAUCUUCAUGUUGUUGCUGAAGAUCAUUAGAUAUGGGCGUAAGAUGUAGCACUUUGCCUUGUUAUCUUCGUCCAUCAAUUUCUCAAGUGUAGUUCGUUGAUUAGUGGAUGGAUGAGCAGGUAACGCAGGCACUUCCUGGUCUAGAACAUGGGUAAGCUUUUCAGAAUUGAGAAUAAUUCUCAGAUUUCGGAGUCAGUCUUUGUAAUUUGUGUCGAUCAACCUAUUUGUAUCGAAGAUUCGGACUAAGGGGUUUGAACUCGAUAUGGUUAUUUCCAGAG